rnacentral:rRNA from 1 species
AACGAACGCUGGCGGCAUGCCUAACACAUGCAAGUCGAACGAGACCUUCGGGUCUAUUGGCGCACGGGUGCGUAACGCGUGGGAACCUGCCCUUAUGUUCGGAAUAACUCCCCGAAAGGGGUGCUAAUACCGGAUAAUGUCUUCGGACCAAAGAUUUAUCGCCUUUGGAUGGGCCCGCGUUGGAUUAGCUAGUUGGUAGGGUAAAAGCCUACCAAGGCGACGAUCCAUAGCUGGUCUGAGAGGAUGAUCAGCCACACUGAGACUGAGACACGGCCCAGACUCUUACGGGAGGCAGCAGUGGGGAAUAUUGGACAAUGGGCGAAAGCCUGAUCCAGCAAUGCCGCGUGAGUGAUGAAGGCCUUAGGGUUGUAAAGCUCUUUUACCCGGGAUGAUAAUGACAGUACCGGGAGAAUAAGCUCCGGCUAACUCCGUG